CACGUAGGGGGCGAGCGUUGUCCGGAUUUAUUGGGCGUAAAGAGCUCGUAGGCGGCUCAGUAAGUCAGGUGUGAAAACUCCAGGCUCAACCUGGAGACGCCACCUGAUACUGCUGUGGCUAGAGUCCGGUAGGGGAGCAUGGAAUUCCUGGUGUAGCGGUGAAAUGCGUAGAUAUCAAGAGGAACACCGGAGGUGAAGACGGGUUGCUGGGCUGACACUGACGCUGAGGCGCGAAAGCUAGGGUAGCAAACGGG
rnacentral:rRNA from 1 species